rnacentral:rRNA from 1 species
AACGAACGCUGGCGGCAUGCCUAACACAUGCAAGUCGAACGAGACCUCCGGGUCUAGUGGCGCAUGGGUGCGUCACGCGUGGGAACCUGCCCUUAGGUUCGGAAUAACUCUCCGAAAGGGGUGCUAAUACCGGAUAAUGUCUUCUGACCAAAGAUUUAUCGCCCUUGGAUGGGCCCGGGUUCGUUUAGCUUGUCGGUAGGGUAAAAGCCUACUACGGCGACGAUGCGUAGCUGGUCUCAGAGGAUGCUCAGCCACACUGGAACUGAGACAGGGCCCAGACUCUGACGGGAGGAAGCAGCCGGGAAUCUUGCGGAAGGGGGGAGAGCGUGAUCUAGGAAAAUCGCGGGAGGGCUGAAGGACCUCUGCUGGUAAAGUGCUGUUGGUCGUAAAGAAGAAAAGCUCUUUUACCCGGGGUGGUAAUGACGGUACCGAAAGAAUAAGCACCGGCUAACUCCGUG